rnacentral:rRNA from 1 species
GAUGAACGCUGGCGGCGUGCUUAACACAUGCAAGUCGAGCGAAAAUAAUUGAGAGCUUGCUUUUGAUUAUUUUAGCGGCGGACGGGUGAGUAACGUGUGGGUAACCUGCCUUUUACUGGGGAAUAAUCACUGGAAACGGUGACUAAUACCGCAUACGGUUCUUGGAAGGCAUCUUCUAGGAAAGAAAGGAUUUAUUCGGUAAAAGAUGGGCCCGCAUCUGAUUAGCUAGUUGGUGAGAUAACAGCCCACCAAGGCGACGAUCAGUAGCCGACCUGAGAGGGUGACCGGCCACAUUGGGACUGAGACACGGCCCAA